rnacentral:rRNA from 1 species
AUGUUUGAAUCCAUUCCACCCACGGAUGUUGUCUGGCUCAAGAACAUCAUGCAUGACUGGGGUCAUGAAGAUUGCAUCAAAAUACUUCAACAUUGCAAGGAGGCCAUCGCCACCAAGAACGCCGGAGGGAAGGUGAUAAUCAUAGAUAUGGUAAGGGGGUCUGCAGAUGGCGAUAGGAAGAUCAGCGAGUGGAAGCCAAACAGAACAUGUUCUCAAUGUGCAUCAACGGCGUGGAACGGGAUGAGCGUGAGUGGAAGAGGAUCUUUUCUGAUGUUGGAUUGGGUGACUUACAAGAUCAUGCCGGUGUUGGGUCCCUACUCAGUCAUAGAGAUCUACCCAUGA